AGUCUUAUAUUCAAAUAAAUGAUAUAAAAUUGCAAAUUUUAUGGUGUAAUAUUCAAUACUAAGGCUU
rnacentral:tRNA from 1 species